CAGCUUCUUCCUUCCCCUUUGUCCGCCCCGACUUCCCUGAUCUCGCCGUCCUCCUCUUUCAGAUCCUCCCCCUCCCCAUCCACGACCGCGCCACCUCCCCAUCCAUGGCCAUCUGCCCCUAUGCGUCCCGCAACCGCCGCGACGACAUCCUCGUCCCCAGAGGCGGGGACUUCCCUUAAGGCGAACCUAGUGCACGUGGCGCCGGUACCGUUGAUGCGGGUCGGGCGGCGGUCAGAUCUGCCACGGCCAGAACCGGCGUCCUCUUCCUCCCUAUCCAGCGCUUCCUCCCAUGGCUGAGAAGAGGGCUUCGUCAAGGAUCCCAUGACGGAGGUCAACGUGGGAGGCUGCUUCCUCCGAUCCCAGAUCGACCAUCCGUCGAUGGAGGCCAUGAGAGCCACGUGGGCACACACAUGGCUGCGCUUCAAGCUGCAGCUCGAUAGAUGCAGGGACGCCGCCAUGGAACAGUCAGGGCCUCCCUUCUCUUCCCGUUUAGUCCGAUCCGCCACUGCCAGCCAUUUCCGGCGCCCUUGCACCAAAGCGGUGAAGGGCACAAGGAUGAAUUCAACGCAAGAUCCUACUGGUGAUCCAACAGAUGGGAGCCCAACAGACGCAAACACAUCAGAUGCCUAAGAAAAGGACUGGCAAAUAAAAUAGGAAUCCAAACUUGCAAAAUUCUCUUUUACAGACCGCUAGUACUACUGGGACUCUAGGUACAAGGCACAAUGUAAUUGCUCCAAAUACGCUCAUACAAGUUGCAACAAUGAAUACUCGAAUGUUUCGAGCAAUGGGAAGUUGUUUGGCCCCGUUUGCUUGCAAGAUGUGACGCUCAUGGCAGCCACGCCCCCACAACCAAGAAUUGACUUGUAUAUCCAGUGCGUGCUAUAGAAAAAAUCUCAAGAUGGAAGAUCACCGAAGGCACUCAAUAUUUAUAUUCUACGACUGAUGCAGAAGUGGUUUUAAGGUCUUUGGGCUCCAACGUAACAUCUUUAUAGGAACAUAUCUUCCAUUAUUGGACCCAAAAACUUUUGUUGAGGUUGUUGGGAUUGGUAAAGGGAAGCAUAAUUUAAUUAGAUUUUGUUCAAGACUCAUGCAAAACAAACAAAGGUCUAUUAGUUUCAGCCAACAUGACAAAAGGCAUAAAUUGUUCCAUGCUUGCUAGAAAAGAUGUAACCAACGCCUUAGCAGGUGAUUUCAGGAGAACUAAGGCGAAGUUAAAUGAUCAAUUUUGGGAAGCUGUUUGGCCCUAUUUGCUUGCAAGAGGGUGGCACUCAAAGCAGCCAAAAGACGUCCAGCAUCCAAGAAAUACCUUGUAUAUAUAGUGCAUCCUAAGAAAAAUUCUCAAGAAGGAAGCUCGCUAAAGUCACUCACUAUUAUGAUUCUAUCACUGUGAAGUGGCCAGUGCAUUCUAUCUAUUCUUAGUAACAACUGACUAGCUUCCACCCUCUCACUUGCAAACUUGUAAACCCCCCUCUCACUUCAUUUCAAGAGUGUGGAUCACA